AUCACGCUGGCGGCAUGCUUACACCCUGCAGUCUGAACGGCAGCACGGGAGCAUCCUGGUGGCGAGUGGCGAACGGGUGAGUAAUAUAUCGGAACGUGCCCAGUCGUGGGGGAUAACGCAGCGAAAGCUGUGCUAAUACCGCAUACGAUCUACGGAUGAAAGCGGGGGAUCGCAAGACCUCGCGCGAUUGGAGCGGCCGAUAUCAGAUUAGCUAGUUGGUGGGGUAAAGGCUCACCAAGGCGACGAUCUGUAGCUGGUCUGAGAGGACGACCAGCCACACUGGAACUGAGACACGGUCCAGACUCCUACGGGAGGCAGCAGUGGGGAAUUUUGGACAAUGGGCGCAAGCCUGAUCCAGCAAUGCCGCGUGCAGGAUGAAGGCCUUCGGGUUGUAAACUGCUUUUGUACGGAACGAAACGGCGAGCUCUAAUACAGUUUGCUAAUGACGGUACCGUAAGAAUAAGCACCGGCUAACUACGUGCCAGCAGCCGCGGUAAUACGUAGGGUGCAAGCGUUGUCCGGAUUUAUUGGGCGUAAAGAGCUCGUAGGCGGCACGGUAAGUCAGAAGUUAAAACGCAGAGCUCAACUCUGCGUCGCUUUUGAUACUGCCGAGCUUGAGUAUGGCAGGGGAGAUC
rnacentral:rRNA from 1 species